rnacentral:rRNA from 1 species
GACGAACGCUGGCGGCGUGCUUAACACAUGCAAGUCGAACGGAAAGGCCCUGCUUGCAGGGUACUCGAGUGGCGAACGGGUGAGUAACACGUGGGUGAUCUGCCCUGCACUUCGGGAUAAGCCUGGGAAACUGGGUCUAAUACCGGAUAGGAGCCAUUUUUAGUGUGAUGGUUGGAAAGUUUUUUCGGUGUAGGAUGAGCUCGCGGCCUGUCAGCUUGUUGGUGGGGUAAUGGCCUACCAAGGCGGCGACGGGUAGCCGGCCUGAGAGGGUGGACGGCCACAUUGGGACUGAGAUACGGCCCAGACUCCUACGGGAGGCAGCAGUGGGGAAUAUUGCACAAUGGGCGCAAGCCUGAUGCAGCGACGCCGCGUGGGGGAGGACGGCCUUCGGGUUGUAAACUCCUUUCGCUAGGGACGAAGCUUUUUGUGACGGUACCUAGAGAAGAAGCACCGGCUAACUACGUG